GGGUCAGUAGGUUGGUCGUGCCACCGGUACGUACUGGUCUCACUGAUUCCUCCUUCCUGAAGAACCGUAAUGCCAUUAAUUUGGUGUUGUGGGGAAACAGGACUGUUACUUUGAAAAAAUUAGAGUGUUUAAAGCAAGCUAACGCUUGAAUACAUUAGCAUGGAAUAAUGAAAUAGGACGAUCGAUCCUAUUUUGUUGGAUUCUAGGAUUGACGUA
rnacentral:rRNA from 1 species